rnacentral:rRNA from 1 species
AGGAUGAACGCUGGCGGCGUGCCUAACACAUGCAAGUCGAACGUCCUGUCUCGCAAGAGGCAGGGAGUGGCGGACGGGUGAGUACCACGUGGGUUAUCUACCGUGAGGUGAGGAAUACCGGCGAGAAAUCGCCGACAAGACCGCAUAGGCUCGAUGCAAGUCGAGCAAAGCUCUUUCGAGAGAGGGAGCGCCACACGAGGAGCCUGCGCCCGAUUAGCUAGCUGGUGGAGUAACGGUUCACCAGGGCGACGAUCGGUAGCUGGUCUGAGAGGACGAUCAGCCACACUGGGAUUGAGAACGGCCCAGACUCCUACGGGGGGCAGCAGUGAGGAAUUUUCGUCAAUGGGGGCAACCCUGAACGAGCAACGCCGCGUGCAGGAAGAAGGUUUUCGGAUCGUAAACUGCUUUUCUCGGGGAAGAGAAUGGACGGUACCCGAGGAAUCAGCCCGGCUAACUACGUGCCAGCAGCCGCGGU